rnacentral:rRNA from 1 species
CUCUGGGCUGUAAACCUCUUUUAUCAAGGAAGAAGAUCUGACGGUACUUGAUGAAUAAGCCACGGCUAAUUCCGUGCCAGCAGCCGCGGUAAUACGGGAGUGGCAAGCGUUAUCCGGAAUUAUUGGGCGUAAAGCGUCCGCAGGCGGUCUUACAAGUCUGUCGUUAAAGCGUGGAGCUUAACUCCAUUUCAGCGAUGGAAACUGUAAGACUAGAGUGUGGUAGGGGCAGAGGGAAUUCCCGGUGUAGCGGUGAAAUGCGUAGAUAUCGGGAAGAACACCAGUGGCGAAGGCGCUCUGCUGGGCCAUAACUGACGCUCAUGGACGAAAGCCAGGGGAGCGAAAGGGAUUA